AACAGUGUGGCUUAGUGGUUUGAGUGUUGGACUAUGACUCUAGAGACCAGGGUUCAAUUCCCCACUUGGCCA
rnacentral:tRNA from 1 species